rnacentral:rRNA from 1 species
UACGUAGGUCCCGAGCGUUGUCCGGAUUUAUUGGGCGUAAAGCGAGCGCAGGUGGUUUAUUAAGUCUGGUGUAAAAGGCAGUGGCUCAACCAUUGUAUGCAUUGGAAACUGGUAGACUUGAGUGUAGGAGAGGAGAGUGGAAUUCCAUGUGUAGCGGUGAAAUGCGUAGAUAUAUGAAGGAACACCGGUGGCGAAAGCGGCUCUCUGGCCUGUAACUGACACUGAGGCUCGAAAGCGUGGGGAGCAAACAGG